GACGAACGCUGGCGGCGUGCUUAACACAUGCAAGUCGAGCGAUGAAGCUCCUUCGGGAGUGGAUUAGCGGCGGACGGGUGAGUAACACGUGGGUAACCUGCCUCAUAGAGGGGAAUAGCCUUUCGAAAGGAAGAUUAAUACCGCAUAAGAUUGUAGUACCGCAUGGUACAGCAAUUAAAGGAGUAAUCCGCUAUGAGAUGGACCCGCGUCGCAUUAGCUAGUUGGUGAGGUAACGGCUCACCAAGGCGACGAUCUUUAGCUGGUCUGAGAGGAUGAUCAGCCACACUGGGACUGAGACACGGCCCAG
rnacentral:rRNA from 1 species